UUUCCAUGUUUGUGUCAUAUUAAUCUGCCUUUUUCUUACUUGAAUGUACAGACUAGCAGUAAAUGGGUCCAUCUGACUUGGAGAGCAGGGAUGGAAGAGUUUGGCCUUACUCCCUGGUGAGAACACAGAGGAAGAGGCCAGCACAAUCACUAGAUGUCUGCACCAGCCAUGACUACCUUGGUGGAUCUAGAAGGAAGCUAUAUUUGGAAAAAUCAUUGUCACAAGCUUCCUUGUUGGUAAAGGAGCUCAGCAGAACAGGAGGAGGACAGGGAAUAAGAGGAAACACUGCAGGGAUAUGAAAAGAAAACGUGGUACAGCGGGUUAAGGAAGGUGCUUCCAGGGGAAGAACAGAAGGGAAAGUCUUCCUGAUGUCCCUGCUUUGCAGUUUUCCAUACUGCAGGCACAUGAGCUCACUUCCAUACUGCUUUCUAGAGUGAGCCCCAGCUAGUCCUGGAGGAAAACAUAAACCUGCAUUUAAGGCAUUUGUCACAGCCAGCUCUCCGCAGAAGCUGUCUUCACCAUUAAGGAAAACUUGAUUUACAAACUAUAUUUAAUGAAAGAAAAGCAUCCUGCAGCCAAAGCUGCAAAUAUUUGGCAAAUGGCUCCAUUGAAAGCUUUUCACAGGAUGUCAGUCAGCUCCAAAGCUGCUAUACCUCUAAUGCUGCUGUUGAGAGCCAAAUUACCUGGAGGAGGUCACACGAGCAGGCUACGCCAGCCUGAAGUUACCCGUGCAGCCCUUGAGAAGGGACAGGAUCUGAUGCUGCAGAGAGUGGGAGCUCUCAGGUGUGCAGCCAUUUUCUCUAUACUUUAACUUCUGGUCCUCCUGAAGUGGUCAGGCAUUUGGACAAGAUGAUCAUUGUAGGUCCCUUCCAACUGGACUAUUUAUUCUAUGCUCAGUCAUGUGUUUUUGUACAGUAGUGCUGGUUUAGGAGUUUGUCGUAUUUUCAGAGUUGUAAGGCACACACCAGUCUAACACAAGCUCAUGUGAGGACCCAAAGAAAAGCAAAUGUGGCUUUGAGUAGUCUGAGAUUUGGCAGAUUUGGGCCUGAAGAUCAAUGCUUAUUUCUAUGAUAA